GGCGCUUUUCUAGACAGCCGGUUGGGAGCCGCGGUGCAGAGAACCCCGAGAAGGCGGCCUGCGGCGGCGGCCAGCUCUGCACUGCGGCCCGCCGUGCCUGCCCUCACCUCACCGCAGCCUGCUAGCUGCUUGCUCUAGACUGGUUCCCUGGGUGCCAAGGGCUCAGCAGUGCGAGUCCAGGAGAACAUGCUGGAGAAGAGCGUCCCGCAGUGAGCAAGAGUCUGCUCACUCUCAAAGUCCGCAGUGAGUGAGGAUGGCUCGAAUCAGUUUGGAGAAGCUGGGCACUUUGAUGCCGCAAGUUGUGAGAGCUACAAGACGGUGCUCAUUCACCUAUGAGGUCUUGCUGUGACUCGACUGUGUACUUCAAAAGUCCAUGCAUGGGAAAUUUAAUCCCAAAAUUUAUAUGUUAAUAGCAAUGGAGCAGAGGCCUCCAGGAAGUUGUCUUGGUUAUUUUCUCAUCACUGAGACAUGAUACCCAUCACUCACAACUCUAAGGCGGAAAGAUUUAUUUUGGCUCACAGUUUAUAGAGGUUUCUGUCUGUAGUCAGCUGGCUCCUAUGCAGGCUGACGUGGCAGAGGGCCUGGCAGAGGAGGACGGCUCAUGGCAUCACAGCGGGAAGCAAGAGAACCAUACAGGGAAGAGGAGGAGAUAUUCUUCCAGGCCACACCCUCAGUAACCCACCCCUCCUCCAGCAUCAUGCCUAGCUAUAAAGUCGCCAGUGCCCCUAAUCCAUGAUGCACAUCACACCCCCAUGACCGGGUCUCCUCCCAAAAGCCCCACCAUGAGGCUUUGGGUGUACAUCCAGGACAGACACCGUCCCACAAGCGAUAAGGAUUAAAUGAAUCCACAUGGAUGGAGGCCCCAGGAAGGCGCUGGUGGCUUUAUGCAAAGAGGAAAAGAGAUCCUAGCUGGCACUCUGGUUGGUCUUGCACUGUCGUGCCCCCGCCAUGUUGUGGUGCAGGACAAGGCCUUCGGAUGCCAAGUAGAUGCCAGCACCAUGCUGGCAGACUCCUAGCCUUCAGAACCAGGAGACAAUCAAGUACUGUUUCAUGGGCCAGGAUUGUAGCUCAGUGGCACAGAGCCUUCCUGACAAUUGUGAGUUCUUGAGUUUGAUUUCUGGUACCCCCUCCCACCAAAAAGACAAAUACUGUUCCUCAUCAAUUACCCAGCAUUAAGUGUUUUGUUAUAGCAACAGAAAUCAAACUAAGAUACACUGCAGAAUUGGUUGAUUUUUUCCCUUGGACAUUAUGGAUUCUCUGUAGAACUGCAAGAGGGUAUAUCACCUUAGAAGAUUCAGAAAACUUCAGAAAAACAGAGAAGCCAGGAGACACCCUGCUUCCUCCCAGCCUCCACAUCACACCUACUUUCAAGGGCCCAGGCCCAGCAUCUUCAAAAAAGAAGCUGUCAUAAUAUGUGACCUUAUUAAAAGGGAUUAGACUGCUGGGAGUGGGGGUGUACAUGCAUAAUCCCAGGACUCAGGAGACUGAGGCAAGGAGGAUCACGGUGUGUUCAAGGCGAGUCUGAACUGCAUAUAGAGACUCUGUCUCACUAAUAAUAGUAAUAAUAAUAAUAGAAUAAAAAUACUUGAGUCACAAGCAAAGAUUCCUGGUAUUUUACAACUGAUGAUCCAUUCUUUCCCAGGCGUUCUGCAAAGGUGAAGUUCUGAGACCCAGGCUUAAAGACUUGGGUAAAUAAAGCUGCCGACCCAGGGGAACAUCUACCUGCUUUGACUGUGCUAACAGCACAGCCCCAGUUGAUGCCUUUCAUGUCUGGGAGCCUCCACCAAGAAGAAAUGUCCUGAUUUCAAUUUAUUUUAUUUUUUAAACAAGAAGUUUAUUUAAGCAACAAGACACUUGACUUAAAGGGAAAACUAGGAAUCUGUUUUUUUAAAGAAUAAUUUGCCCUACAUCUAACAGCUAUGUACAAAAAAAGUUGCAAAAUUGUCCUUGGUUUUACAAUGAUAAGUGAAAAACAUUAAGAUUCCCCAAUCAAACAAGAUAUAUAAGGAUUUUUGUGUUGUUUUUUCUGUUAAAACAGUGGGAGCAAAAUAACUUCACUGGAAUAUAAAGAUAAGAGCUGAUGACCAUUCCACUAAUGGAGAAAGGGGAUUAUUUUCACAGAACCAGUAAUUCCUCACUUCAUCUCCAUUUAAUGUCAAUCAAAACACAUUAUUGGCCAUUUAGUAAAAUAAACUGCAAUAUGCUCAUGCA